rnacentral:snRNA from 1 species
GCGGCGGCUCCGGCGGUUG